UACGGAGGGUGCGAGCGUUAAUCGGAAUUACUGGGCGUAAAGCGUGCGCAGGCGGUUUUGUAAGUCUGUCGUGAAAUCCCCGGGCUCAACCUGGGAACUGCAUCCGAAACUGCCUUGCUAGAGUGUGUCAGAGGAUGGUGGAAUUUCCGGUGUAGCGGUGAAAUGCGUAGAGAUCGGAAGGAACAUCAGUGGCGAAGGCGGCCAUCUGGGACAACACUGACGCUGAAGCACGAAAGCGUGGGGAGCAAACAGGA
rnacentral:rRNA from 1 species